GGAAGUAAAGUCGUAACAAGGUUUCCGUAGGUGAACCUGCGGAAGGAUCAUUAAUGUGUUUGGGCCUCACGGCUCUUCAUUCCGACGCUGUGCGCCUUCGGGCUGCACGCUGAGGGAGCAUAUAUCCACCCCUGUGCACACACACGGUGGCGAGCUGGGUAACGGCUCGCCGCUGAUCUUUACACACGUCUAAAAGUCAUUGUAUGUUUAUUUGAGAUAAAAACACAACUUUCAGCAACGGAUCUCUUGGCUCUC
rnacentral:misc_RNA from 1 species